rnacentral:rRNA from 1 species
UACGUAGGAUCCUAGCGUUGUCCGGAUUUACUGGGUGUAAAGGGUGCGCAGGCGGACUUAUAAGUCAGUGGUGAAAUCUCGGCGCUUAACGCCGAAACUGCCUUUGAUACUAUAGGUCUUGAGUUUGGUAGAGAUCCGUGGAAUUCCGAGUGUAGCAGUGAAAUGUGUAGAUAUUCGGAAGAACACCAGCGGCGAAGGCAGCGGAUUGGGCCAAUACUGACGCUCAGGCACGAAAGCAUGGGGAUCAAACAGG